GACGAACGCUGGCGGCGUGCUUAACGCAUGCAAGUCGAACGGAAAGGCCCUGCUUUUGUGGGGUGCUCGAGUGGCGAACGGGUGAGUAACACGUGAGUAACCUGCCCUUGACUUUGGGAUAACUUCAGGAAACUGGGGCUAAUACCGGAUAGGAGCUCCUGCUGCAUGGUGGGGGUUGGAAAGUUUCGGCGGUUGGGGAUCGACUCGCGGCUUAUCAGCUUGUUGGUGGGGUAGUGGCUUACCAAGGCUUUGACGGGUAGCCGGCCUGAGAGGGUGACCGGCCACAUUGGGACUGAGAUACGGCCCAGACUCCUACGGGAGGCAGCAGUGGGGAAUAUUGCACAAUGGGCGGAAGCCUGAUGCAGCAACGCCGCGUGCGGGAUGACGGCCUUCGGGUUGUAAACCGCUUUCGCCUGUGACGAAGCGUGAGUGACGGUAAUGGGUAAAGAAGCACCGGCUAACUACGUG
rnacentral:rRNA from 1 species